CCUACGGGAGGCAGCAGUGGGGAAUAUUGGACAAUGGGCGCAAGCCUGAUCCAGCAAUGCCGCGUGAGUGAUGAAGGCCUUAGGGUCGUAAAGCUCUUUUACCAGGGAUGAUAAUGACAGUACCUGGAGAAUAAGCUCCGGCUAACUCCGUGCCAGCAGCCGCGGUAAUACGGAGGGAGCUAGCGUUGUUCGGAAUUACUGGGCGUAAAGCGUACGUAGGCGGUUAUUCAAGUCAGAGGUGAAAGCCCGGGGCUCAACCCCGGAACGGCCUUUGAAACUAGGUAGCUAGAAUCUUGGAGAGGUCAGUGGAAUUCCGAGUGUAGAGGUGAAAUUCGUAGAUAUUCGGAAGAACACCAGUGGCGAAGGCGACUGACUGGACAAGUAUUGACGCUGAGGUACGAAAGCGUGGGGAGCAAACAGGAUUAGAUACCCUGGUAGUCCACGCCGUAAACGAUGAUAACUAGCUGUUCGGGCACUUGGUGCUUGAGUGGCGCAGCUAACGCAUUAAGUUAUCCGCCUGGGGAGUACGGUCGCAAGAUUAAAACCUUAAGGAAUUGACGG
rnacentral:rRNA from 1 species